CCAUCGGUGGUUCAGUGGUAGAAUGCUCGCCUGCCACGUGUUCGAUUCCCGGCCGAUGCA
rnacentral:tRNA from 1 species